GGCGGUUCUUGGGUGAUGCACCCUGGAAUCAGGCUCCCUGCUCUCUGGUUUUGGGUGCAUCACCCAAGAACUGCA
rfam:Myotis brandtii contig278028, whole genome shotgun sequence.